rnacentral:lncRNA from 7 species
GAAAAGCAAAGCAAGAGAUUCCCAUGUUGAGACCAUGGAGCGCAGGAAGCUGCAGUGCUGUGCAGCCAUCUGAACUCAGAGUGAUGUUUGACCUCAGAUGAUGAACAGGAGCUUUGCCUUCUUGCUGUGCAAUGCCAGAUCACCAGAAAAGAUCUUAGCUAAUACUUGUAAUGAUAUCGUGGCUCAGAUUGGGUGUACGAGCAUGUUGUAUGCUGCUUAACAGCAGAAGGUGAUGGGAUUUGAUGGAGAUACAUGUCUGUAUUUCCUAACCUUCAGCAGGAACAGCAAAGAACUCUUGUUCCAAGAAGGAAUUCAGAAUAUCUCCUCCGCGUUCUACCUCUGCAUGCUGAGACAGAGUGAGAACUGCAGUCAUGGAGUGAGAAGACUCACAGAAGAGGUGUGUGGUUGGUACACCCCAUCUGUCUGAGUUCUACAACAAGUCCCUGUUUGCAUCAAAUUCUGGACUGCUCGCGUCCCUCUCUGACUACACUGGAGAACAGCUGAGGUCCCUCUCACUGAACGCUGCUUCCCAAGGGCUGAAUUCGGAUGAGAAAACCACUGUAACAUUGGCUCCUACUAUUCAGUGGGAAUAACCAGAGCCAGGUGAGCACGGAUUCUGUGGCACAUAUUGAAUGCCUGGAGACCAACAACAGAGCUCCUGGAAUGGAAUUCCUCCAUUCCAGGUGGUCCACUGCAACAAAUAAUGGACUCAACAAAAAGAACAGUUAUAAGAAUAAAGGAGAAAGAGUGAUUU